rnacentral:rRNA from 1 species
CCUACGGGAGGCAGCAGUGAGGAAUAUUGGUCAAUGGACGCAAGUCUGAACCAGCCAUGCCGCGUGCAGGAAGACGGCUCUAUGAGUUGUAAACUGCUUUUGUACGAGGGUAAACGCAGAUACGCGUAUCUGUCUGAAAGUAUCUUCCGAAAAAGCAUCGGCUAACUCCGUGCCAGCAGCCGCGGUAAUACGGAGGAUGCGAGCGUUAUCCGGAUUUAUUGGGUUUAAAGGGUGCGUAGGCGGUCGGAUAAGUUAGAGGUGAAAGCCCGAAGCUCAACUUCGGAAUUGCCUCUGAUACUGUUCGGCUAGAGUGCAGUUGCGGUAGGCGGAAUGUAUGGUGUAGCGGUGAAAUGCUUAGAGAUCAUACAGAACACCGAUUGCGAAGGCAGCUUACCAAGCUACUUCUGACGUUGAGGCACGAAAGCGUGGGGAGCAAACAGGAUUAGAUACCCCAGUAGUC